UACGUAGGGGGCGAGCGUUGUCCGAAUUUACUGGGCGUAAAGCGCGCGUAGGCGGGCUGCUAAGUUGGGGGUGAAAUCCCGGGGCUCAACCCCGGAACUGCCUCCAAAACUGUCAGCCUUGAGGUAUGGAGAGGGAAGUGGAAUUCCUGGUGUAGCGGUGAAAUGCGUAGAUAUCAGGAGGAACACCUGUGGCGAAGGCGGCUUCCUGGCCAUAUCCUGACGCUGAGGUGCGAAAGCUAGGGGAGCGAACGGG
rnacentral:rRNA from 1 species